UGGCAGAAGAGAUGGGCAGGCUAAGAUAAACUGUGCUGGAGUUCUGGGGCAAUGCCUACAGCGGAGUGAGCGUCCCCAAAGGUCUCCUCUCUCCCGCCAGGCAAUAGAGGGGUUCAGCAAAGCGGGUUAACCUGAUCAUGAAUUUACAGAAGGUGUGGUGGGAUGGCUUGUCAUUGCUCCUGGAUGUCUGGGCUUCAACUAGGAAGACUUGAAUUGCAGGGGCUGGAGUCAUCUGGAAGCUUCUUGGUUCACAUAUGCCUGUUGCCUGGGCUGGCUUUGGUUCAGCUGGAACUGUUGACACCAACAUGUAACCUGUCCACAGUAUGAUGGCUUCAUGGUAGUCAGACUUUUAAUAGGGUGGCGCAGUGCUCCAAGCAAGAAGUGAAAUCUCCAUGGCCUUUAUGACUUAUUCUUGAAACUUGUACAUCCCUUCACAUCUCUCAUACUCUAUUGGUUAAGACAGUCACAAGCCUGCCCAGAUUCAAGGCUGACUCAGGCUAUCGCUAGCCCAGCAGAUUCGGUCAACCAUUAAUUCCACAAAUAUUUACUGAUUCUCUUGGAUAUGCCUGGCCUUGUGGCAGUGAACACGACAUUCAGAAGCCUGAUAAGAUGGAAGCCGCUCUGACCUGGGACCCAGGAGCCCUGAUUCUGCCAGUUACUCUCUAAGUGACUUUGGACAGGUACUCAGUCCUCCCUGGGCCUCAGUUUCCCCAUCAGUCAUAUCAAGGCCUUGACCUUGAAGAUUGCUAAAACCCCUUCAGAACUCCCAAAAGAAAGAUGAUUCUGGCACACCAGGCACUCCUAAAGUUUCAAUCCUCAACCUCAAGUUUAUUUUCUGUCUUUUGCCUUUACUGCCGGCUGGCUUACUCUUGCUGUAAUUUAUUUAACUGAGAUGUGCCGAGCAGUUUGGAACUGAGUUUGCAUGAAUCACUGUCCAUAAAAUCAAGUUAAGUGGAUUUCAUUCCACAGAGCGCACCUGUGUAUAUACUCGGGGAGAAGAAGCUGGAUUUUCUUGGCUCUUCCGGACCACUGUUGGAAUUGCUUCUUUACAGAUAUAGCAUUCAUCCUGUAUUUAUAGUCUGUUGUUAUAACAGCCUCCUUCAGAGACCUGAAAGUAAAGUGUUGGAUGCAAUUUUUCCUUCAGAUCAUUUUAUAUAGCUGUCCUGUUUCCCUCUCUAGCUGGAAAAGCUGACAUUGAUUUCUUCUAUUUUAUCAGAGCUGGCAAAUAUCAGAUUCAACUUCAUUCAACAACUGUUUACUGAGUGCUUUGUGAAGUCCUACUGAGCUAGGUAUAGGGGUGGGUGUCAAGCAGUGUCAUGCUGCUCAAAGACUCUACAAACUAUGAAGUGUUAAGUAACAACAAUGCAAGAAAAUGUUUCCAGGCAGAAAAUGGGAAAUUUGCUGUGUUGGGUGGAAGAUGAAACUAGCAAAGGUGAGUGAUCUGGGGAGGAUUAUGGAGAGUUUGGGGAGGAUCCUGAGCUUGUGAGGGAGAUUUCUGUUUGGACCACUGCCCACAUUUCCCUCCUCCUCAGCCCCAUCUGACAAAACCUGCACCAAAAUCCUUUCAGUUUACCAUUUUGUAAAAGGAUGUGAUUAGAAAAGAAAAAGGUUUUGAGUGGAGAUGAGCAUUUUUAUAGGAAGAAAUAAUGCCUGGAGUGUCUGCUCUGGUGCUUGUGGAAAUACUUUUUUGGAGCCAGUGUGAAGGAUUAUAAAGGGAUUUAUUUCAUUUUGUAACACAGCCAAAAGCACAGGCAGACUGUGACUAAAACGGUGGUGCGAGGGACUAGCUAUUUGUUCUUAUUUUCUACCUUGUUAGGAAAUAUGUCAUUUUUACUCUGCCACAGAAGAAACAUUUCACGAUUUUCUUGGCCGAUUUCAAGUGAUGUUGGAAAUUCUAUUCCAUUGACCCCUGGGACUCUGGGAGACAUGCUGGGAUGCUGGGGAAGGGCAGGGUGUGGCCUCCCACCUCCACUGACACUAUGCUUAUGGCCAUCCAGUAUUUUUGAGAAGAUGGGUUCACUUUAAAAGACUUUAAGCUUUGGAUGCACCUGCAUUUCUAUCCAGGCUGCAAGCUAAAUUUGCUUUGCUUAAUGGAUUCUGUUUGUCAUACUGUCUUGGAAUAAGACACACCCACAUUUCCAGGCAACUAUUUAGGAAGCUUGUAUUUCCAGAAGGUGCCUUAGCCUGGGUUGUGUCUGCCCUGGAAAGAGACCCUGGAUAGCGCCACUUCUGCGCUGGGGGAGUAACACAAUGGACCACAGAGCAGUGCUGUCCAAGGGAAAUACAAUGAGAGCCAUGUAUGUAAUUUAAAAUUUUCUAGUAGCCACAAAAAAAAAAAACCCUAUAAAAAGAAAUAGAUGAGUUUAAUUUUAGUAAUAUAGUUAUUUAAUCCAAUAUAUCUAAAAUAUUACGAUUUCAACACAAUAAUCAAUAUGAAAAUGAUUAAUGAGAUAUUUUACAUUCUUUUUUUUCAUACUAAGUCUUCAAAGCUUGGUGUGUGUUUUAUACUUUAGCACAUCUCAAUCCAGACCAGCCACAUUUCAAGUGCUCAAUAGCUGCAUGUGGCUAGUGACUACUAUAUUGGACAGCACUGGUCCAGAGUUCUUUCACAGACUCCUUGAAGCCCUGGAGGGUCUUUUAUUUUAACCUUUGUAGGCAAUAAAGAGCCCAACCUUUUUUUGCCUUGACUAGGAAUAGCUCACUACUUGGCCUCCAACUGUAUAAUUGUCUCCGUUGCUCCCAGAGAUGGAGUCUGGUAAAUUUCAGGGGCCUUCCAUUAUGGUACCCAUCACUGCCACCGCUAUUUGUGCUACAUUCAUACCUUGUCUGUGUUUCAUGCUCUGGCACUUUUCAUACUUCCUUUAUCCUUUCAAAACCUACCUUUCCUGGGUCCCUUUUCCUUCAGGGUCCUACUCAGGGUUUGGAGGAUAAUGAUAAUAAGGGCUAAUGGUCAAAAUAGACUGUGGUAUAAUACUUCCUGGGUAUCAGCCUGCACCAACACACUUCAAAAUUACAAUCCUCCUGCAGAUGGUGAGUGGCAAUGGGACAGGAUGGCAGAGCAUUGGAAGUGGAAAGAAUUUAGAGAGCUUCUAGUCCAGUAUUUUAUUUUUAAAUUGAGGUAAAAUUUGUGUAAUAUAAAACUAAUCAUUGAAAGCGUAUGAUUCAGAUAAACAACAAGGUCCUAUAGUAUAGCACAGAGAACUGUAUCCUGUGUGACAAACCAUAAUGGAAAAGAAUAUGAAAAAGAAUAUAUAUAUGUAUAACUGAGUCACU